GGCUGUGGCUCAGUGGUAGAGCAUCUGCCUCGCAAGCAGAAGGUCCCAGGUUCAAUCCCGAGUAGCAUCU